rnacentral:rRNA from 1 species
UACAGAGGUCUCAAGCGUUGUUCGGAUUCAUUGGGCGUAAAGGGUGCGUAGGUGGCGUGGUAAGUCGGGUGUGAAAUCCCGGGGCUCAACCCCGGGACUGCAUUCGAUACUGCUGUGCUUGAGGACUGGAGAGGAGACUGGAAUUUACGGUGUAGCAGUGAAAUGCGUAGAGAUCGUAAGGAAGACCAGUGGCGAAGGCGGGUCUCUGGACAGUUCCUGUCACUGAGGCACGAAGGCCAGGGGAGCAAACGGG